rnacentral:misc_RNA from 1 species
GAAAUGCGAUAAGUAAUGUGAAUUGCAGAAUUCAGUGAAUCAUCGAAUCUUUGAACGCACAUUGCGCCCGCCAGUAUUCUGGCGGGCAUGCCUGUUCGAGCGUCAUUUCAACCAUCAAGCCCCCGGCUUGUGUUGGGGACCUGCGGCUGCCCACAGGCCCUGAAAAACAGUGGCGGGCUCGCUGUCACACCGAGCGUAGUAGCAUACAUUCUCGCUCAGGGCGUGCUGCGGGUUCCGGCCGUUAAACGACCUUCAUAACCCAAGGUUGACCUCGGAUCCGGUAGGAAGACCCGCUGAACUUAAGC